GCCUGGGUGGCUUAGUCGGUUAAGCGUCUGACUUCGGCUCAGGUCAUGAUCUCAUGGUUCGUGGGUUCGAGCCCCGCAUCGAGCU
rnacentral:tRNA from 1 species